rnacentral:rRNA from 1 species
CCUACGGGUGGCAGCAGUGAGGAAUAUUGGUCAAUGGGCGAGCCUGAACCAGCCAAGUAGCGUGAAGGAUGACUGCCCUACGGGUUGUAAACUUCUUUUAUAAAGGAAUAAAGGGAGGCACGUGUGCCUUUUUGUAGGUACUUUAUGAAUAAGGAUCGGCUAACUACGUGCCAGCAGCCGCGAUAAUACGGAGGAUCCGAGCGUUAUCCGGAUUUAUUGGGUUUAAAGGGAGCGUAGAUGGGUUGUUAAGUCAGUUGUGAAAGUUUGCGGCGCAACCGUGAAAUUGCAAUUGAUACUGGCAGCCUUGAGUACAGUUGAGGUAGGCGGAAUUCGUGGUGUAGCGGUGAAAUGCUUAGAUAUCACGAAGAACUCCGAUUGCGAAGGCAGCCUACUAAACUGCCACUGACGUUGAUGCUCGAAAGUGUGGGGAUCAAACAGGAUUAGAUACCCCUGUAGUC